AGUCGUAACAAGGUUUCGUCGAGAGAUCCUUCUUGGAAGCCUUCCACGCGGACGACUAUAACCGAACGCGUGCAGUCCACCACCAUUGGUGUUGGGCGACGUUGCCCCUAUGCUGGAACGCUACCGGCUCCGUAGCGGACCAGCAGCCAGGUCCUGGUGGUCCUGGUCCACAGAUUAGGCGGUGGCGGUCCCGGGUUGACCCCUGGGAUUGAGAUAUAAUCGGUCACCAUUGCGAUUGAAGAAAUGGUUGAUCAACGUUCCGUAGGUGAACCUGCGGAAGGAUCAUUACCGAGUUAGGGUCCUCUGGGCCCAAUCUCCAACCCUUGUCAAUAUUACCACGUUGCUUUGGCGGGCCCGUUUUUAACCGGACCGUCGGGGAUCUCCGGUCCCUGGCCCGCGCCCGCCAGUAGCCCCCCAAAAAUACUUUAAACAGUGAUGUCUAAAUUUCAAACAAGAAUAUAACCAAAACUUUCAACAACGGAUCUCUUGGUUCUGGCAUCGAUGAAGAACGCAGCGAAAUGCGAUAAGUAAUGCGAAUUGCAGAAUUCCGUGAGUCAUCGAAUCUUUGAACGCACAUUGCGCCCUUUGGUAUUCCGAAGGGCAUGCCUGUUCGAGCGUCAUUAUCAACCCUCAAGCCCGGCUUGUUUGUUGGACCCUACACCGAUCUUUAAUCGUCGGUGGGUCCGAAAGAUAAUGGCAGAGUUGGUGAGACCCUGGAUGCAGUGAGCUUUAUUUUCAGCACGCAUCACGGUGGUCCUCCGGGCUCCGGUCUUAACCGGAUAUUCAAUCCACUUCUUAUGGUAGACCUCGGAUCAGGUAGGGAUACCCGCUGAACUUAAGCAUAUCAAUAAGCGGAGGAAAAGAAACCAACAGGGAUUGCCUCAGUAACGGCGAGUGAAGCGGCAACAGCUCAAAUUUGAAAUCUGGCCCUCUCCGGGUCCGAGUUGUAAUUUGUAGAGGAUGCUUCGGGUAAGGCCGCGGUCUAAGUUGCUUGGAACAGCGCGUCAUAGAGGGUGAGAGUCCCGUCUGGGACCGUGCGCCGCGCCCGUGUGAAGCUCCUUCGACGAGUCGAGUUGUUUGGGAAUGCAGCUCUAAAUGGGUGGUAAAUUUCAUCUAAAGCUAAAUAUUGGCCAGAGACCGAUAGCGCACAAGUAGAGUGAUCGAAAGAUGAAAAGCACUUUGAAAAGAGAGUUAAACAGUAUGUGAAAUUGUUGAAAGGGAAGCGCUUGCAACCAGACUUGUGGGCGACGGUUCCCCCGGCCCUCGGGCCGGGCUACUCCGUCGCUUCCAGGCCAGCAUCGGUUUGGGUGGCCGGUUAAAGGCCCCGGGAAUGUAUCUACCUUCGGGUCGACUUAUAGCCCGGGGCGCAAUGCGGCCCACCCGGACCGAGGAACGCGCUUCGGCUCGGAUGCUGGCGUAAUGGUUGUAAGCGGCC
rnacentral:rRNA from 1 species